UUUGAGUUCUAGCCUCAGCCCUGACAUUAUUUCUUUCUCUACAAAGAGUGUUAGGAAGUUAUGGGGAGCUCACAAAGGGUCCUCAUCAUUUAUUCUUAAUCCUUUAUUUCUGUGUUCCUCGGGAAUGUCACCGGGUUUACACAUCUGGUCUCUGGGAGCUGCAGAGGAUGGGCAUUUGUGACAGCACUAUGGGACUGAGUAACACUCUGUUUGUGAUGGCCCUCCUGCUCUCUGGUGUUGCUUCCAUUGAGAGUCAAGCAUAUUUCAACAAGACUGGAGAACUGCCAUGCCAUUUUACAAACUCUCAAAACAUAAGCCUGGAUGAGUUGGUAGUAUUUUGGCAGGACCAGCAUAAGCUGGUUCUGCAUGAGCUAUUCAAAGGCAAAGAGAACCUUCAAAAUGUUCAUCUCAAAUAUAAGGGCCGCACAAGCUUCGACAAGGACAACUGGACCUUGAGACUCCACAAUGUUCAGAUCAAGGACAAGGGCACAUAUCACUGUUUCAUUCAUUAUAAAGGGCCCAAAGGACUAGUUCCCAUGCACCAAAUGAGUUCGGACCUAUCAGUGAUUGCCAACUUCAGUCAACCUGAAAUAACAGUAACUUCUAAUAGAACAGAAAAUUCUGGCGUCAUUAAUUUGACCUGCUCAUCUAUACACGGUUACCCAGAACCCAAGGAGAUGUAUUUUCAGCUAAACACUGAGAAUUCAACUACUAAGUAUGAUACUGUCAUGAAGAAAUCUCAAAAUAAUGUGACAGAACUAUACAACGUUUCUGUCAGCUUGUCUUUCUCAGUCCCUGAAGCACACAAUGUGAGCGUCUUCUGCGCCCUGAAACUGGAGACACUGGAGAUACUGCUCUCCCUGCCUUUCAAUAUAGAUGCAAAACCUAAGGAACAAGACCCUAAACAAGGCCACUUCCCCUGGAUUGCGGCUGUACUUGUAAUGUUUGUUGUUUUUUGUGGGAUGAUGUCCUUUAAAUCACUGAGGAGAAGGAAGAAGCAGCAGCCUGGCCCCUCUCGUGAAUGUGAAACCCUCAAAAUGAAGAGAAAAGAGAGUGAACAGACCAAUUAAAGAUUCUUUACCUAAUCAAAUCCAAAUAAGCAAUCCUAAGAAUGGCUCAAGGGAAAUAGUACAAUACCAUGCACCUGAGAGAUUUGAUGAAGCCCAGUGUGUUAACACUUUGAAGACAGCCUCAGGCGACAAAUGUCCUACACAUUUUUAAUUAAAGAGUAAAGUCCAUUGUUUAUAUACCUUCCCUUUCAAGGUUUGGGUUUAGCUUUUUCUUGUCUAUUAAUAUUAUUAUUACCAUUAAUAAUAGUGGGGGGUCCUGGACUCCCUCUGAGAAAGCCACCCUGUAAUGCCACUUGCUCCCUAUCCCAGGAGCAGAACUUAACUAUUUCUUUUCAUUUCAGAACACACUUAUGGGCCAACUUCACCUGACUGGCUCGUGGGCUCAGGAAUAAUGUUUAAGACUAACACCUCCUGUUUCACAUUCAGCCUUCUUUUCUUAAUUUUAUAAAUUGUGUUUUACGUAGAACUCCCAAUUACUGGAAUAAUGGCUUUUAUCUAUGAUUAAUUUCAAGGUAGUGCCUCAUUCUAUCUUGUAUAUUUGUGACUGAGCAACUACCUCUUCAGUCUGGGUGGGAGUUAUAUGUUUUAUGGCUUUAUAGUGUUGCUGUUAAUAUCUUGAAACAUAAAGAGGUGUGUCCUAUAAUAAUGUAACUGCUACGCCCUGAGAAAAUCGCUGCUGAGGAGCCCUUGUACCUCUGUGAGGGUCAGUAGGAAAAUGGUGGCUUAGUGUACUGACAAUGAUGAGCAGACCAACUCAAAAUUUGGAAAAUUAAGAACAAUGAAGAUGGAAUCAGCUCUGGAUCCUGGAGCCACUUCUAUCUGAGGAGGAUCCACCUGCUGAACAAGCUAUAAAUAAGCCUUAGCAGAGAACACUGGGUCAAGCACUGUGCAUUGUGAACCCCCUAUUCUUCUUGAAAGAAAUGACUGAGAUGAUGGUCCAGGGCAACUAUGCAAGAGCCAACUGAGAGAUCACAAUACUCAAAAGAGGGAAAAAAAAAAAAGAUCUUGACAACAGAGAUGCACAUGAAUGUUCCUUCCAUCUGUCCAUUCCUCCAACAAACCUCGGGACAAGCAACAGAUGGACAGUCUGUACAAAAGGACUUAAGACAGACAAUAGCUUCUCUGGUGGUGGGUGAGAAGUUCAGAUAAUAAUCAAGUUAUUGUGAUGGCUGCAAGCAGAGCUGAGGAGGGAGAGCUAUCAUCUUGAUAAUGGGAUAAAGGGAAGGAAGCUUAGGACUCUUUCAACUUAUGUCUGAGACACAAAGAGCUAGAGUGGAAUUAGGAGGACCAAAAUGUAAAUCAUCUGGACCCUGACUUAGCUGGCAGGUGCCCUAGGGAGAAAUAAGCUGGCCCAGAGCAAGGAUGGCAAAUUUGUGUCUGAGGACUGUCUAUAUGUCAUUAUAAAUGAUGGAGAAACUGGGAACACAAGAGAACUAUACCAGCCCAGUAGAAAUGAGUCAGAUGACCCUGGCUCCACGGCAGCAUCACUAAGGGAUGAGGCAGCCUCAGUCCAAACCAAGAGAGAACUUUGGGAGGCCCAACCCACAGAAAUAUUUCUCCUUAUUCUACAUAAAGGAACCUAAAAGAUUGUAGACAGCUGUACUAGCCAUGCUUGUCCUUGUAACAUUAUCAUUUGUGUGUUCUGCCCUGCAUUUGCCUUCAUUAGACCGUAAAUAUCUUAUUAGUUCCUAACACGUUUUGUACAGUGAGUUCUUAAAAAAUUUUUUCUUAAAUUGAUUUAAAGUCUACAUUUUCUGCUUCUACUUUAAUGGUACUACUUAACCCUUGUAUUCUGAUAGUACUUCCUCUGUCCUCCUAACAUACUUCAUGCUGCUAAUGGCUUUUGACUCAUCCCAAACCCUCUCCUAUUACCCUUUCCCUAACUAUUGUAUAAUAAAGGGGGGCUUAUAUGAUUCUAUAUGUUUAUGUCAGGCAUGAGACAUAAAAAAUCAAAUUGUUCUUUCUGAGGACAACUGGGAAAUUUGGAGUUAGGGAAGGGACACUUGGUUUUCAAUUUGUAACUUUUUAUAGUCUAUCAUUUUAAAUUAUAUGCUCAUUUGUACAUUAAACAAAAGCUUAACAUAAAACACUCCUUAAAAUACCUUGAUUAUGAAAUAAAUGCAUAUAACUAUUGCA